GGUCCCAUCGUCUACCGGCUAGGAUCGCGCCCUGUCACGGCGCAGAAACGGGUUCGACUCCCGUUGGGACCGCCA
rnacentral:tRNA from 1 species